rnacentral:lncRNA from 1 species
UUUGACACAUAAUACGUUCAUUUUUAGGUAAAGAAAUACUUGAGGGUUUAAGAAAUGGGUUUUGUACUGGGGUCAAUACAAAAUUCGAUUUCACGCUCUAGGGGUAGGCUAAGAAAUUUUCAGGAAUACUUCAAGAAAUUUAUUAACAAUAGAAAUAUCAUUCAAAACUGUGACUCUCAUCCAAAACUUGGAUAGUACGUCACAUUGAUACCUAUCAACUUGCCAUCUUCAUUCAUGAUGUUGCCUACAGAAAGUCUGGCUUCGGUGCAUUCCACACAAGGAAGUUAACAAUGAAAGGAUCUGGGCUCUUUACAUUGAUAUGACAAUGAUUGACUUUAGUGGUUUGGUUUGUGACGCCCCCAAAAUAUGUAUACAUCACCUAUUCUGAGUCGCCAAAUACAUGGUACAUAAAUUAAAUACAAACUUAAUUAUACAACUGUCGUGUAACAUAUGACAAGACAUAGUUUAGAAUUUUAAAACGAAUAUUGUCUUCUAGACAGUAUUCAAACACAAUGGAGUCCUCAUUACAAUUAUUAUCACACUAUUUCACAGAAUAGUGAGGACUACUAAUGCUAUCAUCUGGACCAUCACUCUGUUCCCUGACUAGUCCCU